GAGGAAUUUUGCGCAAUGGGCGGAAGUCUGACGCAGCAACGCCGCGUGAGUGAAGAAGGCCUUCGGGUCGUAAAACUCUGUCGGGCGGGAAGAAACUGUGCGGCAGGAACAUGGCCGCGCACUGACGGUACCGCCGAAGGAAGCACCGGCUAACUCCGUGCCAGCAGCCGCGGUAAUACGGAGGGUGCGAGCGUUAUUCGGAAUUAUUGGGCGUAAAGGGCGCGCAGGCGGUUCCGCAAGUCGGAUGUGAAAGCCCGGGGCUUAACCCCGGAAGUGCAUUUGAUACUGCGGGACUUGAGUAUGGGAGAGGAAGGCGGAAUUCCUGGUGUAGCGGUGAAAUGCGUAGAUAUCAGGAGGAACACCGGUGGCGAAGGCGGCCUUCUGGACCAAUACUGACGCUGAGGUGCGAAGGCGUGGGGAGCAAAC
rnacentral:rRNA from 1 species